GUAGAUUCGAGAUGACCAUGUGGC
rnacentral:piRNA from 1 species